AUUGAACGCUGGCGGCAUGCCUUACACAUGCAAGUCGAACGGCAGCACGGGAGCAAUCCUGGUGGCGAGUGGCGAACGGGUGAGUAAUACAUCGGAACGUGCCCAAUCGUGGGGGAUAACGCAGCGAAAGCUGUGCUAAUACCGCAUACGAUCUACGGAUGAAAGCAGGGGAUCGCAAGACCUUGCGCGAAUGGAGCGGCCGAUGGCAGAUUAGGUAGUUGGUGAGGUAAAGGCUCACCAAGCCGUCGAUCUGUAGCUGGUCUGAGAGGACGACCAGCCACACUGGGACUGAGACACGGCCCAGACUCCUACGGGAGGCAGCAGUGGGGAAUUUUGGACAAUGGGCGAAAGCCUGAUCCAGCCAUGCCGCGUGCAGGAUGAAGGCCUUCGGGUUGUAAACUGCUUUUGUACGGAACGAAACGGCCUUUUCUAAUAAAGAGGGCUAAUGACGGUACCGUAAGAAUAAGCACCGGCUAACUACGUGCCAGCAGCCGCGGUAAUACGUAGGGUGCAAGCGUUAAUCGGAAUUACUGGGCGUAAAGCGUGCGCAGGCGGUUAUGUAAGACAGUUGUGAAAUCCCCGGGCUCAACCUGGGAACUGCAUCUGUGACUGCAUAGCUAGAGUACGGUAGAGGGGGAUGGAAUUCCGCGUGUAGCAGUGAAACGCGUAGAUAUGCGGAGGAACACCGAUGGCGAAGGCAAUCCCCUGGACCUGUACUGACGCUCAUGCACGAAAGCGUGGGGAGCAAACAGG
rnacentral:rRNA from 1 species